CACGCCCCAAAAAUAACGUACUAUGUUUCAGUUAAGGCUGUUAUGAUUGGAUUCGACAAACAGUGACAAUGGCUACUUCUACGAGCCAUAAACAGACAAAUUAGCGAAUACUGUUUCUCUUAUUAGAAUGUUAAAUAUCAAAUCAUAUAAGUGGCAAAAGCACAGCAUAUUUUGUAUAGGAAAUACUUUACAUUGAUGUAAAGAAAUAUGUUAAAGAUAACGAAUGCAUGAGGAACGCUACGAAUUACGUUGGAACGAUACAGAGAUCUUACAUUAACACAGUGCUGUGAUUCGUUCGGUUUGAUUAUGAACUACAAGUUGUAAACAGUGAUUGUUUCAUUCAGAAAGAUAUGGAUUUUUAAUUGUUAGUAUUUUAGAAAUCAAAUGGCAGUUAAGGAGUGUAAUAUUUCAGACUAUAAUCUAUCAAUUUCGUCAAAAUCAUGUACUACGGGGCUGACUUACAACCAAUUCUGUUUGGAACGUUAUUGUCUCCAAUUUUAGUUCUUGGAAUUGUUGGCAAUAUAUUAUCCAUUCUGGUGUGGAAUAAAGGUAAGCGACGUAUGACUACCACGUCGCGAUACAUGUCGGCACUGGCUGUUGUUGACAUUCUAGUAUUAUUGAUACCGGCUGGUGACGUAUCGUUGAAAUUUGUGAUGGAUAUGCGGCUAGAAGAAUACUCCCUCGCGCUGUGUCGUGCCUGGGGGUUCUGUUUUUAUGCGCCGAGGGCGAUCUCGGCAUGUAUAUUGGUCGUCGCUACAGUCGAGCGAGCAAUGGGGAGUGGAUGCCACAUCGCGAUAGACUGACGUGUGGUCCCAACAAAGCCGUUAUCAUAAUCGCACUCGUUUGUGGGCUUGUCUCAGCUGCAUAUCUUCCAUUCUUUCCUGGUUUCAAAUUUGAAGAAAGCAAAGGUUGUUCUAUGGGAAAUUCGCUUUUCUGGAAACAUCACUUAAUCUUUAUAGAAUUUGAUUUUUGCAUGUUUUUUGUUGGACCGUUUAGCAUUAUCAUUGUAUGUAAUAUGUCAAUUCUUAUUAAAGUAUUUAAAAGCAAACAAUCAGUUCAAGCUUGUGGAAGGCAAACACCUGGUAAUAAAGGAGGUCAAAACAUGCUUAAAACAGUUACAUGGCGAAUUAUUAUCUUGAGCCUCACAUUCUGCUUUUGCGUUGGCCCUGGGCAAAUAUUUACCUUCUUACCGAAACGUUGGUCUUGUCGUGGUCUGUUGUGGGAGAAGUUUUCUGGCUGAUUUUGUAUUUGAACAUUGGGAUUAAUUUUAUUCUAUACUGUAUGAUAGGGUCAGGAUUUAGGAAGGACUUGAUGGCAAUUUGUAAAUGCAGAACUCGGAUUUAGUAUUAUUGAUUCGUUUUUCAUCCAUUCAUGUACGGAUACACAAAGCGAGAAAACGGCGUAUGGUAUAAGUAUUUGUUAUACGAAGAACAGAGUUAACGUCUACUUAGAACGACCUGUUUUUGCGUUUGUUAAGCAGAUUAAUUAUUUAUUGUUAAAACAUAUUUUAAAAAGGUCCCAAAAUCUUUGCACAAAGCUAGAGUUAAAUGAGAGUUAAAUGAGAGUGAAAUGAUCAGGCUAUCAUUCGCUUUGAUUCUCCGCUCAUUCACGACUUAGAAUGAAAUAGCUGUAAAGCAUAGUACUAUCCUCGUCAGAUCUUAUUUCAUAACAAUACUGUUGAUCAAUAAAUGGAUAUCAGACGCCCAAUUGCAAAAGAAACAAAACAAGAAAGUAUGAUAUUGACAUUUCUUUGUUUAUGUGAAUUGUUUAUACACCAUAAUACUAUUGUGCAUUUCUCGUCCUAAGCUACUUUAGUUGCUAUAAGAUAUCAUUUAUUUAUAACUGAAUAAUCUAAGCGCUAUAUUUCAUCAACAAAUUUCCUUUCUUGAAGCCAAAUGUGCAAUACUAUGCUCAAACUUGUAUAAAUAAAGGUGUUAAUGUUAUAUUUAGUCCUAAUAGCUAUAUCUUUACCGGUAAUUUACAUGUUUACGUUCUGUUUUUCCGGUUGAAAGUAUAAUACUAUAAUACUUACCGAUUAACAUAUUCAGGGUGCAGAAUCAACGGGGUUUUCACACGGGCUGAAUAGAAUGUAAACACACCGUUAAGAGCUUUAAUUUUGCUAAUAUCUCAAGUUAUUGAAGUUCAUUUGCAAAAAUCUAGUGCAUAAAAAAGUUUUUCUUUCAGUUUGUGCCGAUAUCUUAAGGUAUAAGAAUAAAUCCUUGAAAACGUCUGAAAUCGGUUACAAAAUUUCACGUUGCGUGAAGCACAACCGUAUAAAUGAAUGCAGUACACAUAUAAAUUUUUAACAAGAGUACAUGCUUUGUUACAACCCGUUUUGCAAUAAACCCGUUUUGCAAUAAAAUUAUUGCAAAACGGGUUGGAGUGUCUUAUUGCAAUUUUUUUUUUAAACAACCCGUUUUGCAAUAAACCCGUUUUGCAAUAAAAUUAUUGCAAAACGGGUUGGAGUGUUUUAUUGCAUUUUUUUUUAACAACCCGUUUUGCAAUAAACCCGUUUUGCAAUAAAAUCACCACACAUUUAUUUGCAAUAAUUUCAUUGCAAAACGGGUUGGAGUGUCUUAUUGCAAUGAGAAUUUUGUAUAACAACCCGUUUUGCAAUAAACCCGUUUUGCAAUAAAAUCAUCACUCUUGUAUUUAUUCAAAUGGAUUGGAAUAGUUAAAAGUGAUGUUCAAAUUUUGUAUUUAAAUAAUAUUGUUUUAAAAUAGACAAAACUGUGAGUUAAAACUUAAAAUUAAAAAGCAUGGAAGGUGGUGAAUUUCGAGAUUUAAUACGAUAAAACAAAACAGAAUGUGUGUCGAAACGUGUUGAAGUGUCUUCAUGCAACGUCAGUUGUGAGUUACAAACCGUUUCGCAAUACAAUCAUCACAUAUAUACUAUUUGUUUCAAAUUGAUUUGAAACGGCAUAAAGUAAGUUUAAAAUGUCGCAUGCAAGGUAAAUAUGAUAAAACUAGGCUGAAUGUAUAUAUUUAUGAAGUGAUUUUCACCAAUUGGGGAAUUAAAUUAAGACAACCCAGAAGUGCAAUAAUUUUAUUGCAAAACGGGUUGGAGUGUUUUAUUGCAAUUUGUAAUUUGUAUAACAACCCGUUUUGCAAUAAACCCGUUUUGCAAUAAUUUUAUUGCAAAUCGGGUUGGAGCGUCUUAUUGCAAUUUGAAUUUUUUUAUAACAACCCGUUUUGCAAUAAACCCGUUUUGCAAUAAUACAAUGACACGUGUAUUAAUUAAUUCAAAUUGAUUGUAAACAUUAAAAAGGAAAUUUAAAAUAUCGUUUUUUUUUUAUUUCCAGAUAUGGACAAAACUGUUAGUUUCCACUAAAAAGUAAAAAGCAUUGAAGGCGAUGCAUUUCGAGAUUGAAUGCGAUAAAACAAUACAAAAUGUAAAUAGAAAGUGUUUCAACCUAUUUAGUACUGAAGUGAAGAUAACGCCGAAAUGCAAUAAUUUACUGAAAAAACGUGUUGAAGUGUCUUCAUGCAAUGUGAGUUGUGUGUAACAAACCGUUUCGCAAUAAAAUCAUCACAUAUAUACUAUUUUUUUCAAAUUUCUUUGAAACGGCAUAAAGUAAGUUUAAAAUGUCGCCUUCAAGGUAAAUAUGAUAAAACUAGAGUGAAUGUAUAUAUUUAUGAAGUGAUUUUCACCAAUUGGGGAAUUAAAUGAAGACAAUCCAGAAGUGCAAUAAUUUUAUUGCAAAACGGGUUGGAGUGUUUUAUUGCAAUUUGUUAUUUGUAUAACAACCCGUUUUGCAAUAAACCCGCUUUGCAAUAAUUUUAUUGCAAAACGGGUUGGAGCGUUUUAUUGCAAUUUGAUUUUUUUUAUAACAACCCGUUUUGCAAUAAACCCGUUUUGCAAUAAUACAAUGACACGUGUAUUAAUUAAUUCAAAUUGAUUGUAAACAUUAAAAAGGAUAUUUAAAAUAUCGUUUUUUUUUAUUUCCAAAUAUGGACAAAACUGUUAGUUUCCACUAAAAAGUAAAAAGCAUUGAAGGCGAUGCAUUUCGAGAUUUAAUGCGAUAAAACAAUACAAAAUGUAUAUAGAAAGUGUUUCAACCUAUUUAGUACUGAAGUGAAGAUAACGCCGAAAUGCAAUAAUUUACUGAAAAAACUCCCAGUUUUGUCUAU